rnacentral:rRNA from 1 species
CAGAGGUCCCAAGCGUUGUUCGGAUUCACUGGGCGUAAAGGGUGCGUAGGUGGUAAGGCAAGUCAGGUGUGAAAUCUCCGGGCUCAACCCGGAAAUGGCAUUCGAAACUACCUUGCUAGAGGGUUUGAGGGGGGACUGGAAUACUUGGUGUAGCAGUGAAAUGCGUAGAUAUCAAGUGGAACACCAGUGGCGAAGGCGAGUCCCUGGAAAACUCCUGACACUGAGGCACGAAAGCUAGGGGAGCAAACAGGAUUAGAUACCCUGGUAGUCCUAGCCCUAAACGGUGCUUGCUUGCUGUAAGAGGAAUCGACCCCUCUUGUGGCGGAGCUAACGCGUUAAGUAUUCCACCUGGGGAGUACGCCCGCAAGGGUG